CUUUACUGUAGCUUGGAAUUGAGUUCGGGUUUAUUUUGCGCAGUAUAGGUGGGAGGCUAAGAUAAUAAGCUUGAGGGUUUAUUGGAGCCAAUAGUGAGAUACCACUCUAAAUAAACUAGAAUUCUAACUUUGAUAGUCGUUAACCGGCCAAAGAACAGUUUCAGGUGGGCAGUUUGACUGGGGCGGUCGCCUCCUAAAAGGUAACGGAGGCGUGCAAAGGUUCCUUCAGGCUGGUCGGAAAUCAGUCGUAGAGUGUAAAGGCAUAAGGGAGCUUGACUGCAAGACCUACAAGUCGAGCAGAGACGAAAGUCGGCCUUAGUG
rnacentral:rRNA from 1 species